GCUCCCUACGGGGGGCAGCAGUGGGGAAUAUUGCACAAUGGGGGGAACCCUGAUGCAGCGACGCCGCGUGGGUGAAGAAGUCAUUCGUGACGUAAAGCCCUAUCAGCAGGGAAGAAAAUGACGGUACCUGACUAAGAAGCCCCGGCUAACUACGUGCCAGCAGCCGCGGUAAUACGUAGGGGGCAAGCGUUAUCCGGAUUUACUGGGUGUAAAGGGAGCGUAGACGGCUGGUCAAGUCUGAAGUGAAAGCCCGGGGCUUAACCCCGGAA
rnacentral:rRNA from 1 species